rnacentral:misc_RNA from 1 species
GAAAUGCGAUAAGUAGUGUGAAUUGCAGAAUUCAGUGAAUCAUCGAAUCUUUGAACGCACAUUGCGCCCUUUGGUAUUCCAAAGGGCAUGCCUGUUCGAGCGUCAUUUGUACCCUCAAGCUUUGCUUGGUGUUGGGCGUAUUGUCUCUAGCUUUGCUGGAGACUCGCCUUAAAGUAAUUGGCAGCCGGCCUACUGGUUUCGGAGCGCAGCACAAGUCGCACUCUCUAUCAGCAAAGGUCUAGCAUCCAUUAAGCCUUUUUUUCAACUUUUGACCUCGGAUCAGGUAGGGAUACCCGCUGAACUUAAGC